UACGUAGGGUGCGAGCGUUGUCCGGAAUUAUUGGGCGUAAAGGGCUCGUAGGCGGUUUGUCGCGUCGGGGAGUGAAAACCAGGUGCUUAACACCUGGCUUGCUUUCGAUACGGGCAGACUAGAGGUAUUCAGGGGAGAACGGAAUUCCUGGUGUAGCGGUGAAAUGCGCAGAUAUCAGGAGGAACACCGGUGGCGAAGGCGGUUCUCUGGGACGGUACUGACGCUGAGACGCGAAAGCGUGGGGAGCGAACAGG
rnacentral:rRNA from 1 species